rnacentral:rRNA from 1 species
UACGGGGGGGGCAAGCGUUGUUCGGAAUUACUGGGCGUAAAGGGCUCGUAGGCGGCCAACUAAGUCAGACGUGAAAUCCCCGGGCUUAACCUGGGAACUGCAUUUGUGACUGCACGGCUAGAGUGUGUCAGAGGGGGGUAGAAUUCCACGUGUAGCAGUGAAAUGCGUAGAUAUGUGGAGGAAUACCGAUGGCGAAGGCAGCCCCCUGGGAUAACACUGACGCUCAUGCACGAAAGCGUGGGGAGCAAACAGG